rnacentral:rRNA from 1 species
AUUGAACGCUGGCGGCAGGCUUAACACAUGCAAGUCGAGCGGUAGCACAGGGGAGCUUGCUCCCUGGGUGACGAGCGGCGGACGGGUGAGUAAUGUCUGGGAAACUGCCUGAUGGAGGGGGAUAACUACUGGAAACGGUAGCUAAUACCGCAUAACGUCGCAAGACCAAAGAGGGGGACCUUCGGGCCUCUUGCCAUCAGAUGUGCCCAGAUGGGAUUAGCUAGUAGGUGGGGUAAUGGCUCACCUAGGCGACAAUCCCUAGCUGGUCUGAGAGGAUGACCAGCCACACUGGAACUGAGACACGGUCCAGACUCCUACGGGAGGCAGCAGUGGGGAAUAUUGCACAAUGGGCGCAAGCCUGAUGCAGCCAUGCCGCGUGUGUGAAGAAGGCCUUCGGGUUGUAAAGCACUUUCAGCGAGGAGGAAGGUGGUGAACUUAAUACGUUCAUCAAUUGACGUUACUCGCAGAAGAAGCACCGGCUAACUCCGUG